UUUUUUUCCAAAGGAAUUAAAUAAUAGAAAAUUGUGUAAAAAUUAGAAUGAAAAUUUUUCUAAAGUGAAACAUGAAAUUAAAGGGACACUAGAAAUAAAAAAAAAAAAAGUUUGAAAUUAUCGGAAAAUUGUCGGUGGAAGUUGCGCGCAUGGCCUCAGGGACCUUUUGAGAGCAAGUUACCUUUUAAAGAAGAUAAUAUUCCAUAUAAGGAGGCGCUCUGUAUUUUGUAUUAUAUUCACGGUCUCCCUCGUGUAUUUAUGCGUAUAAUACACACAUAUACAAACAUUUAUUGCGGAUCAAGUUGUACGAAGGCUUCCGACCACCCCAUAGGAAAAAGACAAUGAAGGGGGCUUUUUACGACAAGAAAAGAGAAAGGAAUUUGCAUUUCAAGACAAUAUUACCUACUUGAUGUUGAUCUAAACUUUAUACAUAAUUAUAUAAACACACAGAAUGUUCCAAUUCCAUAUUCAUAAGAAUUCAUUUUUUAAAAAGGGGGAGAAAUGAAUUUUAUUUUUCCAAAAAGAACAAUGAAAAAAAGGCCAAUUAUUGUCAAAAGCCACGAGAGCUUAUAAAAUGUGCCAUAUAUUUUUGCGCUCACAGAAAAAAAAAAAACAGGAUGGAAAGUGCUGCGCAGAUGUAAUAAACGUCGCAUGAGUCAUUAUAGUGAAAGAAAUGAAAAACAAAAAGAAGGAGAGAGAGAAAAAAAAAAAUUUUAAAGAAUCGUGAAUAUAAACACGUGUGUUAUAGUAAAAGAGCAUGCUGACUUUCGCCGCCGCUGUCGAUUAGAAACUUCGUUUUCAUUUGUAAUAAAUGACGGAUAAAUCGACUCACUUUUCCCGCGAGUUCUUUUUUUUCGAUUUAUAUUCAGCUCUUUAUUAUUUUUUUUUUUUAUUACAUCCGAAAGGGAUAUAUGAGUCACGUGUGCAAUUCAAAAGCUGGAAAUAAACGUGCAAAGAAGAGAAAUAAAAAAAAAGGAAUAAGAGACCAAGGUCGACGAUCUUGGCCAGUUAAGGACGUUGCAAGGACUCUUUUAUGUUUUAUAUAUACAAUUUUCUUCGACAAGGAACCAGGAAGUUUUUUUUUUACGCACAUAGUCUGAACAUCCUCGAAAUAGAAAAAAAGAUAUUUGCCAACUCAGGAAGAAUAUAUAUAUUUGUGGCCUAAUGCGUAUGAAAAAUGAAAACAGUCGCGUUAAGGUCGAUUAACUAUCUACAAGGAAAGCAUAUUGGGAUUUCCUACUUGUCAUCAAUUCAUAGUGGCCAACGAAUUUUACUUUGUUUAAUUCAAUUUUCUCGGCAAAGUGCCUACUGCGACAAACUCGAUUUUCACUUAAGGAUUCGACGAGUUUCCAUAUAAAUGAAUCAAGGGAAGCACUUUAAAAUUCGUCUGGAGAGUUUUUUUUUUUUUGCAAAUUUGCCAAAAAAAAUUCUCUCAUCCGGACAAAGAAAAUGUUGAGACAUAUAUAUAUAUUCAACGAGAACGAGAUUUGAGGUGGGAAGAAAAAAAUAUAUGUGGUAUUCAAGAGAAAGAUAUAUUGGCGAUAUUUAAGAAAAAAAAAAGUCUCGCCUCGAAAAUUUUCCUAAAGAACAAGGAAAGUCUUUGACCUUUUUUUUCCACGCUUCGCUCUCUACAUUUUCCAUCAUCAUUACUAUUUCUAGAAUUUUCAAGUAAGUUGUGCCAAAAUUUUAUUCUCUGAAUUUUAUUUUCUAUAUAUUUUAAGUUCCGGUAUCAAUUAUUAUUAUUGUAAAUUUAAAAAAAAGAAAGAAUUAAAAAGAAAAUUUUGUUAGAAAAUUAAAAAAUGUUUUUAAGUUCACAAAAUUUUUACUUAAAAUACAGUGAAAAAUUAAAAAAGUAAUUAGGAAUUAAAUAAUUGAAUUUGGAUUUUUAAAAAUAAUUUAAAGAAUUUUAUAAUUAUUUUUUUUUUAAUUCUGUGAAAAGAUUUGACUUUUCCUUGUGGGGGAAUUGAAAGUCGCGAAAAUUUUCGAAAAGGAAGAAACAAAUUUUGUCGGUCUUUGCUCUUUAUUCCCUUGUGUGUUGGCCGAAUCGAAGGCCCAAGAGGGAUAAAAUGUUUAUAUGCUACACGGUAUGUUUGGCCCGUGGCCAACAAAUACUGCGCGUGCAAUUAGCUCCAAAAAUAGAGUCGUCGACUAAAAUCCCCCAUGAUUUCUCGUCUAACGUCCUCAACGGACUUGACAACUUUUGCAUUCAAUUGAAUAUACAUUCAGAAUGUCACUAACUUUUUUUUAAAUUUCAUUUUUUUUCCCCCUUAAUCAUUCUAUUCACUCGAGAACAAAUUCAAAUUAAUUUAUCUCAAUAUUAAACUGAAAAUCUUUUUUUUCAAAACUUAUUAAAAUUUUCCAGAUUAGAAAUUUAAUGUAAAAAUUAUAUUGUAAAUUAAUGGUUUUCUUAAAAUAAAAAAAAAUUGGAAUGAGAUGAAAAAUAAUUUUUGUUUAGUGAGAUUUCUUAGUGAGAAUUUUUGAAACCUAUAUUAUAAAAUACGGAAGAAUUUAAUUGUUUCACAAUAUAGACGUAUAAGACGUCAUUGUUUGAUUAUUGUACGUCAAAAAAUUUUUGAAAAUCGUGGGCGAUCACUUCCGUUUUUUUUUUUUUUUUUUUUUUGUUCUCGCGUACGAAAACGUGGAAAUCUGUUUGUAACAAAAAGAAAACCUUGGCUCACACUUGACGCAACAAAAUUCAAAGUAGAGGACUUUGGCUUUUGCCUUUGUGUUGCUUAUAUUCAAAAAAGCUUUUGCGCGUCUUUGUCGGCAAAAAUUCGGCUUAUUUUUGUAUUUUAUACUUGGAAUUGAAUUUGUCGCGUUAUAUCAAAAAAAUUGCGCGCUCAAUUAAAGCGGGUUUGUUCAUUUUUUUUUUUCGAAAAUGCAGACUUAAAUGAACAAUGAAACAAAAUUUCUCGAUUGACGUAAUUGUUUAGAAAUUUAUUUUGAAAAAAAGCAAUUUAAAAAAUAUUUUUGUCUAGAAGAAAAACAUUUUAUCGGUUUUAUCAAGUUUUUAUUUGCCAAAAAGCACAUUUUUUUUACACAAAAGGCGAAGAAUAAUAUAAUAAAAACUUUCGUCCAAUUUUAUAAUAUUGUUUUGUUAUAUUUAUAUAUAUAUAUUUUUUUCUCUUUUUUCAUUUAUUUAUACGUCACGAUCAUUUGAGUUUGAGGCCGUUUAAUUGAAAUAUCACUAUAUAUAAGUGUAUUUUUAAAUAUUGUAUUUAUCUGAACGCCGUCUACUAAUUAUGAACUAUUUUAAUCUUUAGAAUCUUUUAAUAUCGAUUUUUUUAUUCUUUCUUAAAUCUAUUAAUUGAUAUUUAGAGUAAGUCACUAAAAAUCAUAUAUUUUCGUUGAUAAUGCAGUGAAAUUGGUGUAAUCUUACUUUGUACGUUUAAAAGAAUGUUUUUUUUUUAAAUUAGCUACUAGAAUAUAUUUAAAUAAAAAACUAACUCUAAAUAAUUUAUAAUAAUUAUUUUAUAGAUAAUAAUAAUAAUAAUAAUACAAAAAUUACCAAGCUUCCAUUAAAUAUUUAAAAAAUAACUCAAUAAUUAAAUAAUAAAAACUUAACUUUUGCUAUUUAUAAAUUAAAUAAAAUUAAAAUAUAUUAAUUAAGUGCAUGUAUAUAGAGAGAUCUAAGGAAUGAUUUUUCCUUUAAAGAGUAGCCACCAUUUUAAGUACAACAAUAAAAAUAGAAAAUUUAUCAAAAAAUUAACUUUAUAAAAAAAUAGAAAGUAAAUUUGUUAUUUUUUUUCAAUUAACGUUCAGGUAAUAUUUGUUUAAAAAUUGCACUCUUUUUUUUCCUCUAAAAAAUAUAUUAAUAUUUGGUACUAAAAACAACACUAUUUGAACGUAAAAAAAAAAAAAACCCCCCAUAUUGAGUAUUAUUUGAAUUGAAAAAAAAUUAUUUUUCUAUAUUUCAAAACUAAUUUUUAUAUUUUUCAACUAUUUUUUUCUCUAUUCAAAAUUAUUUUUUUGUAGUAAAAAUUAUUUAUCAAUUUUAUAUAUAUUUUUUUUUCUAUUUAACAAUAUAUAUUAUCAACUUGGACAUUUAUAUAUCAGUC